UAACCAAUCGUUUUCCGCAGCUGUCUGCCGCGAAUACGCCGUAGCUUUGGACUUCAGUCGCCAAGAGCACGCAGACCCAUGCUUCAGCUUCUACCAGUACGUGUGCGGCAACUGGGCUCAACGGCGUUCCGACAGUGUGCGCGACGUGUUACUGGAGACAUUCGAGCGGGUCGUGACCGGCAUGGCGAUGCGCACGCAAACACCCGUCCAGUUCCAGAAUCCGAGCCAGCGGGCCGCCAGGGCCUACACCAGCUGCAUCUCCAUCUUCAACAGGAAGGAGAGAGAGGAUCUCAGAGAGAAGAACAAAGAGGACGGAGACUCCAGACCUCUUGUCAGCAGCCCUGGGUGCUCCGGAAUCGACCAGGAAGAUGCGUCGUACCGAGCAACCACGCACGAGAUCGUGUUGUCUGGUGGCCACGCGUUCAAAUUUCUCCGCACCUGAUGAACUACUUGACGCAACACAUGAUGAAACAGGCGGAGGGGCGCGGGGCUGAACAAGUGGCAAAUGCUGCUCACGCCACUGAACUUGCGCGUGGAUCUUAAGCGCCCUCUUCGCACAGCGGAUGUUAACACGGACCCAAAGCGCAUUCAUUUCUUCAAUACUUCGAGAUUGUUGUGUGUAUUUUCGCUGAAAAUAGCGCUUAUUGUUAAACAUGCUGUCAGGCUGCUUUCUAA